UUUUUUAAUAAUAAUUUAUAAAUAAAACUUUUUUUUAUAAAUGGGGAGAAGUGCAUCAAUCAGUGUUCAAAAACAAUAAUCUAAAGGAGUACAAAAAAUUACAGGAGCUCAAGCUUACAUAAUUAAGACAACUUGUCAAAUGCCCAUUGGCCAAAUAGCCCAAAUAGACAAAAAGACAAAAGUUCUUUAACGUUUUAGAGCCUAAAACUAGAACUACACAUGCAUGACAACUCCUCCCUCUACUCUACUUCUCCAAAUCCGAUAUCCCUCACCAUUUGAACCUUGAAAUUGGUCAAACAAUCACUUUAGUUAAAUAACUAACCACGGUUAAAUAUUUGCAGCCUUUACUUACACCUGUGUUGCAGACUCGCCGGAAGCCGGAAGUCAGAAGNNNN
rnacentral:lncRNA from 1 species